AGAAAAUCUACGACGAUAACAGUAAGAAAUAUAUGUUAACUAUAGAGAGUUGACUCCUGGUGCAAGUCACUGUUUCAUUAUUUCUGAAAAUCAUCUCUGAGAUGCAGAGCCGAACACACUAGUAAGCUUUCGCCGCGGAGUCCGCCGUUACAAAGAAACACGUAUGUUAGUACGUUGGUUAUAAGAGCCGCAACAUUAAUGGUUUUGUUAGCAGAAGUAGGGUGGUAUCGCGAUUAAACUCGUCCCUAAU
rnacentral:ncRNA from 1 species